rnacentral:ncRNA from 1 species
GCAACUUGCUAGCGGGUGUUGUUUCUUUUCUGUUUAGAACUGAAACGGCUGAGACUAAACCGUUCGGACUCGAUCAAGUUUAUGCUUGCGUGAGGAGGCGAUGUUGCUUUACA